GCUACAGGCUUAACACAUGCAAGUCGAGGGGCAGCAUUUCAGUUUGCUUGCAAACUGGAGAUGGCGACCGGCGCACGGGUGAGUAACACGUAUCCAACCUGCCGAUAACUCGGGGAUAGCCUUUCGAAAGAAAGAUUAAUACCCGAUGGUAUAAUCAGACCGCAUGGUCUUGUUAUUAAAGAAUUUCGGUUAUCGAUGGGGAUGCGUUCCAUUAGGCAGUUGGUGAGGUAACGGCUCACCAAACCUUCGAUGGAUAGGGGUUCUGAGAGGAAGGUCCCCCACAUUGGAACUGAGACACGGUCCAAACUCCUACGGGAGGCAGCAGUGAGGAAUAUUGGUCAAUGGGCGCAGGCCUGAACCAGCCAAGUAGCGUGAAGGAUGACUGCCCUAUGGGUUGUAAACUUCUUUUAUAUGGGAAUAAAGUUUUCCACGUGUGGAAUUUUGUAUGUACCAUAUGAAUAAGGAUCGGCUAACUCCGUGCCAGCAGCCGCGGUAAUACGGAGGAUCCGAGCGUUAUCCGGAUUUAUUGGGUUUAAAGGGAGCGUAGGUGGACAGUUAAGUCAGUUGUGAAAGUUUGCGGCUCAACCGUAAAAUUGCAGUUGAUACUGGCUGUCUUGAGUACAGUAGAGGUGGGCGGAAUUCGUGGUGUAGCGGUGAAAUGCUUAGAUAUCACGAAGAACUCCGAUUGCGAAGGCAGCUCGCUGGACUGCAACUGACACUGAUGCUCGAAAGUGUGGGUAUCAAACAGGAUUAGAUACCCUGGUAGUCCACACAGUAAACGAUGAAUACUCGCUGUUUGCGAUAUACAGUAAGCGGCCAAGCGAAAGCAUUAAGUAUUCCACCUGGGGAGUACGCCGGCAACGGUGAAACUCAAAGGAAUUGACGGGGGCCCGCACAAGCGGAGGAACAUGUGGUUUAAUUCGAUGAUACGCGAGGAACCUUACCCGGGCUUAAAUUGCAUUUGAAUAAUCUGGAAACAGGUUAGCCGCAAGGCAAAUGUGAAGGUGCUGCAUGGUUGUCGUCAGCUCGUGCCGUGAGGUGUCGGCUUAAGUGCCAUAACGAGCGCAACCCUUAUCUUUAGUUACUAACAGGUCAUGCUGAGGACUCUAGAGAGACUGCCGUCGUAAGAUGUGAGGAAGGUGGGGAUGACGUCAAAUCAGCACGGCCCUUACGUCCGGGGCUACACACGUGUUACAAUGGGGGGUACAGAAGGCAGCUACCUGGUGACAGGAUGCUAAUCCCAAAAGCCUCUCUCAGUUCGGAUCGAAGUCUGCAACCCGACUUCGUGAAGCUGGAUUCGCUAGUAAUCGCGCAUCAGCCAUGGCGCGGUGAAUACGUUCCCGGGCCUUGUACACACCGCCCGUCAAGCCAUGAAAGCCGGGGGUACCUGAAGUACGUAACCGCAAGGAGCGUCCUAGGGUAAAACUGGUAAUUGGGGCUAAG
rnacentral:rRNA from 1 species